CGCACCUUGCGCUCCUUGGUAUUCCGAGGAGCAUGCCUGUUUGAGUAUCAUUAAUUCAUCAACCCCUCUGGGCUUUUUUUACAAAAGCUUUCUGAGGUUGGCUUGGACUUUGGGGGUCUUGCUGGCGCAAGUCAGCUCCUCCUAAAUGCAUUAGCAGAGAUGUGUUUCCAUUGCAAACCGGUGUGAUAAUUAUCUACGCCGCAUGAAAGUGGAUUCCUUACAGCUCAGCUUCUAAUCGUCCCCUCGUGGACAAACAUAUUCAGACUUGACUGUCUGGAUUAUUUUUUGAUCUUGAUCUCAAAUCAGGUAGGACUACCCGCUGAACUUAA
rnacentral:misc_RNA from 1 species